rnacentral:rRNA from 1 species
GAGGGAAUUUUCCGCAAUGGGCGAAAGCCUGACGGAGCAACGCCGCGUGGGGGAGGAAGGCUCCUGGGUUGUAAACCCCUUUUCUCAGGGAAGAAGCUCUGACGGUACCUGAGGAAUCAGCCUCGGCUAACUCCGUGCCAGCAGCCGCGGUAAUACGGAGGAGGCAAGCGUUAUCCGGAAUUAUUGGGCGUAAAGCGUCCGCAGGUGGCUAUUUAAGUCCGCUGUCAAAGACCGGGGCUCAACUCCGGGUCGGCAGUGGAAACUGGAUAGCUAGAGUACGGUAGGGGUAGAGGGAAUUCCCGGUGUAGCGGUGAAAUGCGUAGAGAUCGGGAAGAACACCGGUGGCGAAGGCGCUCUACUGGACCGUGACUGACACUCAGGGACGAAAGCUAGGGGAGCGAAAGGGAUUAGAUACCCCUGUAGUCCUAGCUGUAAACGAUGGACACUAGGUGUUGUCUGUAUCGACCCGGACAGUGCCGAAGCUAACGCGUUAAGUGUCCCGCCUGGGGAGUACGCACGCAAGUGUG